CCUACGGGUGGCAGCAGUGGGGAAUAUUGGGCAAUGGGCGCAAGCCUGACCCAGCAACGCCGCGUGAAGGAAGAAGGCUUUCGGGUUGUAAACUUCUUUUGUCAGGGAAGAGUAGAAGACGGUACCUGACGAAUAAGCCACGGCUAACUACGUGCCAGAAGGCGCGGUAACAAGGAGGUGGCAAGCGUUGUCCGGAUUUACUGGGGGUAAAGGGCGUGUAACCGGGUUUACAAAGCAGAUGUGAAAUCCUGCGGGUUAACCGCAGAACUGCAUUUGAAACUGUUGAUCUUGAGUACUGGAGAGGCAGAUGGAAUUCCUAGUGUAGCGGUGAAAUGCGUAGAUAUUAGGAAGAACACCAGUGGCGAAGGCGGUCUGCUGGACAGCAACUGACGGUGAGGCGCGAAAGCGUGGGGAGCAAACAGGAUUAGAUACCCCAGUAGUC
rnacentral:rRNA from 1 species